rnacentral:lncRNA from 1 species
AGCAGUUCUCUUGCCUCAGCCUCCCAAGUAACUGGUACUACAGUUUGUCCUCGGCUGUUACAGAGAAUUGAUACAAAAAAUGAUCAUGUGAAGAAUUUGCAUCUUCUGCAGAACUACCGGUAUCAGUCAGCAGUAGGAGAUUGUAUAAAUUCAGCCUGAGAUUCCAGAAUAUUCUGUGUAUUGACCACCACAGCAAGAAGAAAAAGUCCAUGUAGGACUGAAAUGUCCUGCUCCCUGCCUGCCCAUCUUCGACCUCAGCCCUCCUCCUCCAAAGCAGUCCCUCAGAACCCCUCCUGGUUUCAGUCUGGAUCCCACCACAUGUUGAAUGGCACCCUCUCAAUCUGGGACAGCGUCCGUUGAUUUUCUCCUGUGAUAAAUGAGGAUUGGAAGAGUAUGAGGACCAUGGCUUAUUCUUAUUCACCAUUAUGUCCUUACAGUGCCUGGAGUAGGGAUGGCACAGAAGAACUAUUCAGCACAUGAAGCAGUGAAUGAAAAGACAAAAGGGCAAGAAAAGGAGAGAACAGUGGAGAAAAAAGAUUUUAAUUAAAUACAUGUGGGAAUUUAUCUCUGGCUAUUA